CGGUGCUGAAGCAACAAAUGCCCUGCUUCCAGGAAAAGCCUCUAAGCAUCAGGUAACAUCAAAUCGUACCCCAAACCGACACAGGUGGUCAGGUAGAGAAUACCAAGGCGCUUGAGAGAACUCGGGUGAAGGAACUAGGCAAAAUGGUGCCGUAACUUCGGGAGAAGGCACGCUGACACGUAGGUGAAGUGAUUUACUCACGGAGCUGAAGUCAGCCGAAGAUACCAGCUGGCUGCAACUGUUUAUUAAAAACACAGCACUGUGCAAACACGAAAGUGGACGUAUACGGUGUGACGCCUGCCCGGUGCCGGAAGGUUAAUUGAUGGGGUCAGCGCAAGCGAAGCUCCUGAUCGAAGCCCCGGUAAACGGCGGCCGUAACUAUAACGGUCCUAAGGUAGCGAAAUUCCUUGUCGGGUAAGUUCCGACCUGCACGAAUGGCGUAAUGAUGGCCAGGCUGUCUCCACCCGAGACUCAGUGAAAUUGAACUCGCUGUGAAGAUGCAGUGUACCCGCGGCAAGACGGAAAGACCCCGUGAACCUUUACUAUAGCUUGACACUGAACAUUGAGCCUUGAUGUGUAGGAUAGGUGGGAGGCUUUGAAGUGUGGACGCCAGUCUGCAUGGAGCCGACCUUGAAAUACCACCCUUUAAUGUUUGAUGUUCUAACGUGGACCCGUGAUCCGGGUUGCGGACAGUGUCUGGUGGGUAGUUUGACUGGGGCGGUCUCCUCCUAAAGAGUAACGGAGGAGCACGAAGGUUGGCUAAUCCUGGUCGGACAUCAGGAGGUUAGUGCAAUGGCAUAAGCCAGCUUGACUGCGAGCGUGACGGCGCGAGCAGGUGCGAAAGCAGGUCAUAGUGAUCCGGUGGUUCUGAAUGGAAGGGCCAUCGCUCAACGGAUAAAAGGUACUCCGGGGAUAACAGGCUGAUACCGCCCAAGAGUUCAUAUCGACGGCGGUGUUUGGCACCUCGAUGUCGGCUCAUCACAUCCUGGGGCUGAAGUAGGUCCCAAGGGUAUGGCUGUUCGCCAUUUAAAGUGGUACGCGAGCUGGGUUUAGAACGUCGUGAGACAGUUCGGUCCCUAUCUGCCGUGGGCGCUGGAGAACUGAGGGGGGCUGCUCCUAGUACGAGAGGACCGGAGUGGACGCAUCACUGGUGUUCGGGUUGUCAUGCCAAUGGCACUGCCCGGUAGCUAAAUGCGGAAGAGAUAAGUGCUGAAAGCAUCUAAGCACGAAACUUGCCCCGAGAUGAGUUCUCCCUGAGACUUUAGGUCUCCUGAAGGAACGUUGAAGACGACGACGUUGAUAGGCCGGGUGUGUAAGCGCAGCGAUGCGUUGAGCUAACCGGUACUAAUGAACCGUGAGGCUUAACCUU
rnacentral:rRNA from 1 species